rnacentral:rRNA from 1 species
UACGGAGGGUGCAAGCGUUAUCCGGAUUCACCGGGUUUAAAGGGUGCGUAGGUGGGCUGGUAAGUCAGUGGUGAAAUCUCCAGGCUUAACUUGGAAACUGCCAUUGAUACUAUCAGUCUUGAAUACCGUGGAGGUCAGCGGAAUAUGUCAUGUAGCGGUGAAAUGCUUAGAUAUGACAUAGAACACCAAUUGCGAAGGCAGCUGGCUACACGAAUAUUGACACUGAUGCACGAAAGCGUGGGGAUCAAACAGG